rnacentral:lncRNA from 10 species
ACCAGUGUAUGUGUGUGUUUAUAUAUAUGAAUAUAUAUAUGUAUUUAGACCAGGUCUCACUCUGUCACCCAGGCUGGAGUACAGUGGCAUGAACAUGGCUCACUGCAGCCCCGAACUCCUGGGCUCAAGUGAUCCCCCAACCUUAGCUUCCCAAGUAGCUGGUACUACAGGCACAUGCCACUGGUCCAGGUUGGAGUCAAGCCAUCAGCCAAGGCAGAAGUCAUCCAGACUGCACUGGGGCUGAAGACCGUGAUGCCAAGCUCACUCACGUGGCCUUUGGUAAAAGGCCUCAGUCCUGUGCCAUAUGGACCUCUCCAUAGGACCUCAUGACAAGGAAGCUGGCUUUCCUCAGCACAAGUGACCCAAGCAAGAGAGACAGCAGCAAGAUAGAAGCCAGUGUCUUUUAUAAUUAACCUCAGAAGUGACAUAGCAUCAUGUCUAUAAUACCAUAUUGGUCAACUAUUGUACAAUAAGUGACUACUCAAGGGUAUAAAUACUGGAAGGCAGAGAUUAUGGGGACCCAUCUUAAAGGCUGGCUUCCACAAACUUAGGUGUAAAAUUCUUAACACAAUUUUAGCAAAUAGAAUUCAACAAUAUAUUAGAUGGAUAAUAUAACAAAGUGGGGUGUAGCCCAGGAAUGCAUGGUUGGCUUAACAUUUGAAAAUUAAUAAGGAGAAUUCAAUAUAUUAACAGACAAAAAGACAAAUUAUAGAUUUAGGAAAUACAUUUCUCAAAAUCCAACAUCCUUUCCUUAUAAAAUUUUAGUCUCAUGACACUAGGGAUAGAAGGAAUAGAUGUGAUAAACAAAGGUCAUGUUUGCAAACCUACAUUUUACUAUCACACUUAAUGGUAAAAGACUUGUGUAUUUCCCCCCCAAAAUCAGGAACAAGGCAGUAUGUUCUUUUUUGCUACCUCUAUUCAAUGUUGUAUAGAAGUUAUACCCAGUAAAAUAAGGCAAGAAAAACAUAUAGGUAUCUACAUUGGAAAGGAAUAAAUAAAUCUGUCUAUUUGAAGAUGACAUGAUUAUCUACCUUGAAAAUCCUGUGGGAUCUGCAUGCAAGUUAUCAGAGCUAAUAAGUUUAACAAGGUUGUGGGAUACAAGAUCAACAUACAAAAAUCAUUUGUAUUUCUAUAUUCUA